UAGUAGCUCGUUUUCGCUCUUUAGUUCUCUUUCUAGCUCAUCGUAGAUCAUUGAAUAUCAUUUGGUAGCUCAUUGCGCCUUUUAGUAAAUACGGUACAAAAUGGCGAUGGAAAACCAUGCAAGACUCGAUGAAACUAUUUUUAUAUUGUAGCUCGUUUUCGCUCCUUAGUUCUCUUACUAGCUCAUUGAAGAUCAUUUAGCUCAUUGUAGUACGGAACAAAAGCCGCAGUUAAAUAUUUGGAGAUUGUCUUGCGGGAGAUGAUAUGUUCUUGAAAAGCAAAGAUUUAAAAACGGAUCGAUACGUAACAUAUGCAGGAUUGAGUACUUUGUUAUUCAACGUGAUGUGCACGUGCAAUCAAUAAAAUAGAGGUGAGUAAUACACAAUCGAAUGUAAAUCCAAAAGUAUAGAAUAAUAGUAACCUCUUGUAAUCGUUUCUCAAGCUGUUUACAUCCCAUUGCCUACAGUUCCUUUUAUUUGUGAAAAUCUGGGUUUAAAAGUCCGAGGUUUCUUUCAGUUAGCGAGAAUGGGAGAUUUAUCUGCCGUGAACUUUGUCGUUGUUGUGACUUAUCCGGAUCCAUGUUUCUCGACAACAAUUCAAGUUCUACAUUAUAUAGACAUAACACUGCCCCUGAAGGUAAUAUACGAUGGUGAAGACUGUCAGGAACUUGUGGAUUCUCAAAUAAAAAGGCCAAAUCAAACAUCUUUUUAUUUGGUAUUAGGAUGACUUGAAGCUAGACGAUUUGCUGCUUUGCUGUUUUGAAAAAAAUGAUUGGUCUCCCUCCUUGUUCUAUGAUGGCAGCUAUUACCCGGUUGGAUCAUGUGAGAUUAUUGAAUGAAGAUAGAAUGCUUUGGAAUUUGAAAGGGCUAUAAAUGACUGUGAAAUAUUAUUGGUGUUAUAGCCAGAAUCUUAUGUACCCAUUUCUUUGAACAUUUAUUGAGAUAUUGGGAAURAGUUUACUUACUUCAUGUKCAACACUUGUAUUUAAUUUAGGAUGGGGGGUUUGAAAUUUCUGAGCACUUUGUAUGUUGGAAUUUUCAUGGCCAGUUUGAUGGUUUGUUUGAUUGAAGUGUGGUAGCUCAUUGAAGGCAUUGAAGCUUAUUCCGCUCUGACGAUUCAAAAUAUUUUGGUCAUCAACCAUUUUUUUUGUAAACUAGCUAAGAAUUUCCUCAGAGUCAGGCAUGAACCAAAC